UCGGUGACGCCGCUGACGCGGUCUCGACUCCAUUGUUUCGAGCAUGGUCUUCUACAUAAAAGGGGCAAGAUCGACAUUGUUCCUUCACUUCGAUUUGAUGCUAAGCAGCUAUCAUGUAGCAGUUCAGUUUGGAUCUCAGUUGAGCGAAUUAAAUAAAGUGAAAUUUAGGUGCUUUCAUGGAAAGGCCAGUGUGGAAGGUAUUUGAAGGUGCAUUUGAUGCUGGAAAACUGCUUUCAGAUCUUCCCUUGAAACAUUAGCCUGGAUGAAGCUGUACAUGUGAAGAGUUCUAGGUAUUGACCAUUGGGUGUCACAAUGUGGAUGGACUUCUGUUCUUUACGUGGAGGUUACAUGGUGAACUGUCCUACAGGCUCGUCUGGUUCGUGCUACAACCGGUGGUGUUCGAUUUAGCCUGUUGCAACGUUUGUGGGUAAGGGGCUUUAUUACCGCCGUUGGGGUUCCUUCUGAAGGAAGAUGGUCUUCUACCUAACGAUUGGGAGAUGCUAGGUUGGGUUUGCCAGAGGAUUCUAUUUUCGAACUGCAGACUGAAGGAGCCUGUCCUUAAAUAUGUCCGGAAUUGGUUCGGGAAUGGCAUUGACCAUCUUAUUAAUGUCACGGUUUAGCAGCUUCAACAAAUAAAUAAAUUAGUUUUUUCGUUGUUCAAUAAACAAAAAUUUCCGUUGAAA